AUUGAACGCUGGCGGCAGGCCUAACACAUGCAAGUCGAGCGAGCGGCGGACGGGUGAGUAAUGUCUGGGCAACUGCCUGAUGGAGGGGGAUAACUACUGGAAACGGUAGCUAAUACCGCAUACCCUCAGAUGUGCCCAGAUGGGAUUUGCUGGUAGGUGGGGUAACGGAUCACCUGGGCGACGAUCCCUAGCUGGUCUGAGAGGAUGACCAGCAACACGGGAACUGAGACACGGUCCAGACUCCUACGGGAGGCGGCAGUGGGGAAUAUUGCACAAUGGGCGCAAGCCUGAUGCAGCCAUGCCGCGUGUGUGAAGAAGGCCUUCGGGUUGUAAAGCACUUUCAGCGGGGAGGCGUUACCCGCAGAAGAAGCAACGGCUAACUCCGUGCCAGCAGCCGCGGUAAUAC
rnacentral:rRNA from 1 species